rnacentral:rRNA from 1 species
GAUGAACGCUGACAGAAUGCUUAACACAUGCAAGUCCACUUGAAUUUGGGUUUUUAACUUAGGUUUGGGUGGCGGACGGGUGAGUAACGCGUAAAGAACUUGCCUCACAGCUAGGGACAACAUUUGGAAACGCAUGCUAAUACCUAAUAUUAUGAUAAUAGGUCAUCCUAUAAUUAUGAAAGCUAUAAGCGCUGUGAGAGAGCUUUGCGUCCCAUUAGCUAGUUGGAGAGGUAACGGCUCACCAAGGCGAUGAUGGGUAGCCGGCCUGAGAGGGUGAUCGGCCACAAGGGGACUGAGACACGGCCCUUACUCCUACGGGAGGCAGCAGUGGGGAAUAUUGGACAAUGGACCGAGAGUCUGAUCCAGCAAUUCUGUGUGCACGAUGAAGUUUUUCGGAAUGUAAAGUGCUUUCAGUUGGGAAGAAACAAAUGACGGUACCAACAGAAGAAGUGACGGCUAAAUACGUG